CAGUAGCCGCGGGAAAACGCAGGGUGCAAGCGUUAAUCGGAAUUACUGGGCGUAAAGCGUGCGCAGGCGGUUUUGUAAGUCUGUCGUGAAAUCCCCGGGCUCAACCUGGGAAUGGCGAUGGAGACUGCAAGGCUAGAAUCUGGCAGAGGGGGGUAGAAUUCCACGUGUAGCGGUGAAAUGCGUAGAUAUGUGGAGGAACACCGAUGGCGAAGGCAGCCCCCUGGGCCAAUACUGACGCUCAUGCACGAAAGCGUGGGGAGCAAACAGGAUUAGAUACCCCAGUAGUCCCUGUCUCUUAUAC
rnacentral:rRNA from 1 species